GCCGACUACGGCAAACUUACUGCAACCACAGAGGAGACCAGAGGACCGAAGACGAGCAGCCAGGUCAUCUGCUAGAAGACUCCACUCAAAAGUUUGAGAAAUGAAGACUUUUCUGUUAUUUGUGGUGUUAGGAACCCUUUCGCUAGUUUCCCACUGAUCAUAAACGCCCAUCUACUUUCGUGGCCCAAGGAAGAUAUCUGAGAAUGCCUUCUAGGAAGCAAAUAGGGAUUUGUCCAGCAUUUGGUGUUGACAGGUAUCUGUGCCACUAAUGUCAGCCUCCCACUGUG